CCCGCUGAACUUAAGCAUAUCAAUAAGCGGAGGAAAAGAAACUAACAAGGAUUCCCCCAGUAACUGCGAGUGAAGAGGGAAAAGCUCAAAUUUAAAAUCUGGCAGUCUUUGGCUGUCCGAGUUGUAAAUUAGAGAAGCGUUAUCCGCGCUGGCCGUGCAUAAGUCCCUUGGAAAAGGGCAUCAUAGAGGGUGACAAUCCCGUCUUCGGCACGGACUACCAGUGCUUCUGUGAUGCGCUCUCGAUGAGUCGAGUUGUUUGGGAAUGCAGCUCUAAAUGGGUGGUAAAUUCCAUCUAAAGCUAAAUAUUGGCGAGAGACCGAUAGCGCACAAGUACCGUGAGGGAAAGAUGAAAAGAACUUUGAAAAGAGAGUUAAACAGUACGUGAAAUUGUUGAAAGGGAAACGCUUGAAGUCAGUCGCAUCCUUCAGAAAACAACCCGACUUAGGUCUCGUGCACUUUCUGUUUGGAUGGGUCAGCAUCAAUUUUGACCAUUGGACAAAGACCUUGGGAACGUGGCAUCUCCUGAUGUGUUAUAGCCCAGGGAUCACAUACAGUGGUUGGGAUUGAGGACAUCUCAGUGCUUGCACUGCAGGAUGCUGGCAUAAUGGCUUUAAUCGACCCGUCUUGAAACACGG
rnacentral:rRNA from 1 species